rnacentral:rRNA from 1 species
UACAGAGGUCUCAAGCGUUGUUCGGAUUCAUUGGGCGUAAAGGGUGCGUAGGCGGCGCGGUAAGUCGGGUGUGAAAUCUCGGAGCUUAACUCCGAAACUGCAUUCGAUACUGCCGUGCUUGAGGACUGGAGAGGAGACUGGAAUUUACGGUGUAGCGGUGAAAUGCGUAGAUAUCAAGAGGAAUACCAACAGCGUAGGCAGCUCUCUGGAAGAUUCCUGACUCUGAGGCACGAAGGCCAGGGGAGCAAACGGG